rnacentral:rRNA from 1 species
AAACGCUUGAAGUCAGUCGCGUUAGCUGGAGAUCAGCCUCGCUGUUGCGUGGUGUACUUUCUGGUUGACGGGUCAGCAUCAAUUUUGACUGCUGGAAAAAGGCCUUGGGAAUGUGGCAGCUUCGGCUGUGUUAUAGCCCUUGGUCACAUACAGCUGUUGGGAUUGAGGAACUCAGCACGCCGCAAGGCCGGGUUUUGACCACGUUCGUGCUUAGGAUGCUGGCAUAAUGGCUUUAAGCGA